AAAUUUCUAAGCCGAAAAACAAAAUUUUGUUCCUCUUUUGCCAUCUAAAUUUAUAAGCUAGUGAAUUAAUUCUUUGGAACAAUAAUAACCUUUCUUAAAAUGCUGGGGUCUCUCUUAGCAUUCUCAAUGUCACUUUUUUGGGCAUUUAUUUUCGUCUUUUCAAUUGAGUUUGCUAUAGAAGUGGCUAUGAUUAUCAUAAUUUAUAUUCCGUAUAUAGUGAUUAUUUCAUUAUUGGCUGCUGUUGCAUUGGCUCUUUUCCAUAUUUCCAGCUGUCCAAUUAUAGCUAUUAAUUUCAUGAUGCUAAGUAUUCUAACCGGUGUAUGUUUGAUAGCAUUGAUUUUGAUAAUAUGUUUAAUGGCUAUUGUCUUGAAAAUGAAUCUUAACAUUGGAAACUAAAUGUCUAUCUGGGCAUAUGAAGGAGUUAAAACUGAGGGAACAUGGACGAAGGAAGAACAAUUUGUGAGCAGCACAGCUACAAAAAUUGAAAGCUGAAAUUUUAGACAGAAUUAACAAAAAUGUUUUUUUAAGGUGUCCUCCACCAUGACUUAUACAUUUGCAAUGCUGUCAAACCUAUUGUCGAAACACUUUUUUCACUCCGAUUGUGACAUCUUCAAAAAUUCCCUCUUA
rnacentral:sRNA from 1 species